GACGAACCGUGCGAACGUUGUUCGGAAUCACUGGGCUUAAAGGGCGCGUAGGCGGCUCCGCCAGUCGGGGGUGAAAUCCCACAGCUUAACUGUGGAAGUGCCUUCGAUACUGCGGGGCUCGAGCGAGGUAGGGGCAGAGGGAACUUCUGGUGGAGCGGUGAAAUGCGUUGAUAUCAGAAGGAACGCCGGUGGCGAAAGCGCUCUGCUGGACCUCUUCUGACGCUGAGGCGCGAAAGCUAGGGGAGCAAACGGG
rnacentral:rRNA from 1 species